GUUAUUAUUUCACUUUGUUCACAUUCCGGGGACAUACAAUCGGCUGAUUUUAUCUUCUCUAACUACAUUUCUGCUUCAGAGGCUUUACUUGGUGGGAAUCAUCUUCCAGACUCCCCAAAGCUGGCUUCUGCCCAACUCACAAACCUCAUCUCACAUGUUGCUCUUUUCCCCUCUUUCACCAGUUCCAGGCACACAGACUUCCUGUCAGUUCUUGGUCAAGCAAGUUCUCGUCCACCUGAGGACCUUGUCCUUGCCUGUUCUUCCGUCUGCCUGGAAGGCUUUCUUCUGUCUUCUGUGCCUGGCUCCUUCCCCACCUUCCGGCCUCACUUGAGAUGUGAUCUUCUCUGACCAUCUUAGCUGAAGUUGGCCUCCUCUCCCUUAAUCUCCAUUGAGCUAAACAGUUUCUUUCAUCUAGAACUUACUAUAGUAAUUAUGUGUUUACUAGUUCACUGUCUGGAAUCGUUUACCCUAGAGCAGUCUACGAUGUAAAGCCAGGAUGGUCAAACUACAGCGCAAGCUUUGUUUUUGCAAAGCUCUGGAGAAUGUACAGAAGCAUGCUGCACCCCAACCACCGUGGGCACAUGUUGCCAGGACCUCCUGAGGUUGUGUCAUGGGUAUGCCCUUCGCCUUUCUAAACAAACUUUCUAAACUGAUCGAGACCCGUCUCAGAUUCCAGAUAUUUUGGGUUCACAUCUCUGAAGCUCAGUUGCUAUUUUUCUUGUGAACUGGGCUUCAUUCAUUAAACACAUAUUCAUUAACUGUUUGCUAAGCACCAGGCCCUGUACUCAUUGCUGGAGCUCAACAGUCAUCAAGAGAUCACAGCUGCUGCCCCAGGAAGUUGUAAUCUCUCCAAGGAGCUUCCCUCUCUGCUGGUCACUCAUUCUUCUCUCUCCUGCUGCCAUAUGAAAAAGGACCCGUUUCCUUCCCCUUCUGCCAUGAUUGGACCUGGGAGUGCGACAUGGUGGCCUCAGGGGAAAAGGGCUCUCGUCUAGACCUUCUGACUGUCCUCUGGAUCUUCCUGGUGUCCAUGCGGGGCUGCUGCUCUGGGCUGGCCCCAGGGCCUUUGGCCAGUGUCCAUGAGACCCGGAAUUCCAGCAACCAGUUUGACAACUCCUACAGAGAAACAGGAUCCACAUAAGGAUACAGCUUCUUCAUAUCCCUGUCCCAUGACUUCACCCUGCGUUCUUCAACCAAUCAAUGUGUCAGGCCUCUGAGCCCAGGCCUGCACGUAUACAUCCAGAUGGCAUGAAGUAACUGAGGAAUCACAAAAGAAGUGAAACUGGCCGGUUCCUGCCUUAACUGAUGACAUUACCUUGUGAAAUUCCUUCUCCUGGCUCAUCUGGGCUCAGAAGCUCCUCCACUGAGCACCUUGUGACCCCCCACCCCUGUCCGCCAGAGAGCAACCCCCUUUGACUGUAAUUUUCCACUACCUACCCAAAUCCUGUGAAAUGGCCCCACCCCAUCUCCCUUCACUGACUCUAUUUUCGGACUCCGCCCGCCUGCACCCAGGUGAAAUAAACAGCCUUGUUGCUCACACAAAGCCUGUUUGGUGGUCUCUCCACACGGACGCAUGUGACACAAUGAUCCCCACA
rnacentral:lncRNA from 10 species